GUGCCAGCAGCCGCGGUAAUACGUAGGCAGCAAGCGUUGUUCGGAGUUACUGGGCGUAAAGAGUGCGUAGGCGGUCCUUUAAGUUUGGUGUGAAAUCUCCCGGCUCAACUGGGAGGGUGCGCCGAAAACUGGAGGGCUUGAGUGUGGGAGAGGCAAGCGGAAUUCCUGGUGUAGCGGUGAAAUGCGUAGAUAUCAGGAGGAACACCUGUGGUGUAGACAGCUUGCUGGACCAUAACUGACGCUGAGGCACGAAAGCGUGGGUAGCAAACAGGAUUAGAAACCCCCGUAGUCC
rnacentral:rRNA from 1 species